rnacentral:tRNA from 1 species
GUUAGGGUAGCAAAGUGGUUACUGCGCUAGAUUUAGGAUCUAAUAUCGAAGGUUCGAGUCCUUCUCCUAGCU